GAUGCCUACCCUUUCUCUCAGAUUUCUCACACCCUCUCUGACAUUCUCUUACACCAAAAAUAAUUUGAUUAGAUGCACAAAAAGUCACCCCUUCUUAAAGUGGCAUCCCAUGAAGGUAAUGAUAGAGUUUGGGUGGUUUGGUUCAGGUUCAAACAGGGUUUGAUCUUGUCAUGAAUUUAAAUUAGAUUUGAAAUCUUUUUUAAACCAAACUCAAUUCACAUCUAAGAGACUCAGAAAGGAGGGGCAACAAACCUCAGAUUGGUGCAAAAAAUCCAUGCAAAAACUCUUAUGCGUGUGAGAAGGAAGGCUGGUUGGCGGC
rnacentral:lncRNA from 1 species